GNAAUUAACUACCCCUCAAUGA
rnacentral:tRNA from 1 species